rnacentral:rRNA from 1 species
UGAGGAAUAUUGGGCAAUGCCCGCAAGGGUGACCCAGCAACGCCGCGUGGAGGAUGAAUGUCGUAAGAUUGUAAACUCCUGUUAGAGGGGAAGAAUAGUACCGGUUGGACCGGUAUAUGACUGUACCCUCAGAGAAAGCCCCGGCUAACUACGUGCCAGCAGCCGCGGUAAUACGUAGGGGGCAAGCGUUGUCCGGAUUUACUGGGGGUAAAGGGCGCGCAGGCGGGAUAAAAAGUCAGUGGUGAAAUCCUACAGCUUAACUGUAGAACUGCCUUUGAUACUUUUAUUCUUGAGUUCGGGAGAGAGACGGAAUUCCAGGUGUAGUGGUGAAAUACGUAGAUAUCUGGAAGAACACCAGUUGCGAAGGCGGUCUCUUGGUCCGACACUGACGCUGAGGCGCGAAAGCGUGGGGAGCAAACA